UAGCUAGUUGGUAGGGUAAGAGCCUACCAAGGCGACGAUCGGUAGCUGGUCUGAGAGGAUGGCCAGCCACACUGGAACUGAGACACGGUCCAGACUCCUACGGGAGGCAGCAGUGGGGAAUAUUGGACAAUGGGGGCAACCCUGAUCCAGCAAUGCCGCGUGUGUGAAGAAGGCCUGAGGGUCGUAAAGCACUUUCAGUGGGGAGGAGGGUAUUUAGGUUAAGAGCUAGGAUACUGGACGUUACCCACAGAAGAAGCACCGGCUAACUCCGUGCCAGCAGCCGCGGUAAUACGGAGGGUGCGAGCGUUAAUCGGAAUAACUGGGCGUAAAGGGUGCGUAGGUGGUUAGAUAAGUUAUCUGUGAAAUCCCCGGGCUCAACCUGGGCAGGUCAGAUAAGACUGUUUGACUCGAGUAUAGGAGAGGGUAGUGGAAUUUCCGGUGUAGCGGUGAAAUGCGUAGAGAUCGGAAGGAACACCAGUGGCGAAGGCGGCUACCUGGCCUGAUACUGACACUGAGGCACGAAAGCGUGGGGAGCAAACAGGAUUAGAUACCCUGGUAGUCCACGCCGUAAACGAUGUCAACUAGCUGUUGGUUAUAUAAAAAUAAUUAGUGGCGC
rnacentral:rRNA from 1 species